UCUCUCUCUCCUUCCGCGCGACUUGGCCGUGCGACCCUUCGCCUUCUCGGCGACGGCCCGGCCACCACAGGCCGAGCUGAUCUCCGCCGUGGGUACCAUCGGGUCUGCCUCCCUCUCGUCGUCAAAACCUGACCGACCUCCACCCUUGGGCCGCUCGGAGUUGAUCGGAAAACCAUGUUUUCCGACGGAGAUUCGUCCGAAACCACCCGAACUUCCAGCUCGAUUUUCUCCUUCAAUUUUCCACCAAAUCGGUCGAGUAAGGCACCAGGAGCCCGACAGGAUUGCAAAAGAGACCUUCGAAGGGUCAAAGUAGCUCGGACCAUCUGCCGUAGAAGUACGCGGGAUCCACCACCGGGCCAUACAUAGCUUCCGCGCCAUCAAGAAAGGUAGAGUUUUGAAGAAAAUCCUUGAAACCUCGAAAGCCUUAGAAAAUGCUCUGAUAUCUAGUUAAAAUUGAGAAACUAGAGUUGAGAAUGGUUACUUGAGAUAUUCUGGCAGUUGGUGUGAAUUUAUUGACUGUUUAACAGGCGGAAGAAUUUGGGAUUUGUCAAAA